AAUAGAUACCCGGGUAGUCCACGCCGUAAACGAUGAGUGCUAAGUGUUAGAGGGUUUCCGCCCUUUAGUGCUGCAGCUAACGCAUUAAGCACUCCGCCUGGGGGAGUACGGUCGCAAGACUGAAACUCAAAGGAAUUGACGGGGGCCCGCACAAGCGGUGGAGCAUGUGGUUUAAUUCGAAGCAACGCGAAGAACCUUACCAGGUCUUGACAUCCUCUGACAACUCUAGAGAUAGAGCGUUCCCCUUCGGGGGACAGAGUGACAGGUGGUGCAUGGUUGUCGUCAGCUCGUGUCGUGAGAUGUUGGGUUAAGUCCCGCAACGAGCGCAACCCUUGAUCUUAGUUGCCAGCAUUCAGUUGGGCACUCUAAGGUGACUGCCGGUGACAAACCGGAGGAAGGUGGGGAUGACGUCAAAUCAUCAUGCCCCUUAUGACCUGGGCUACACACGUGCUACAAUGGAUGGUACAAAGGGCUGCAAGACCGCGAGGUCAAGCCAAUCCCAUAAAACCAUUCUCAGUUCGGAUUGU
rnacentral:rRNA from 1 species